rnacentral:ribozyme from 14 species
AGAAUGAAGCUAAAAAGCGUUUGAUGAUUGGUUGAUAGAAGGCGAACCAUUUUUAAUUUUUUUGCUUUUUUAAUUUUGUUUUCGUUUUUUUUCAAUGUUUUUU